AGUGCUCCCCUUCCUCCCCUCAGACAGGCGGGCGGGCGGGCGGAGCGCAGGGGAGCGGUCGCCGCUGCCGUCCCGGCUGGGCGGGCGGUUGAGGGCGGGAGGCGGCCCCUCGUCGGCGGCCGUGAGGGGAGGAAGCGGCGGGGCAGCUGCACCGACAUGGAGGAGCGGUCCCCUCCCGGCGGGGGCCCGGCGUCCCCCCCGCGGGGCUGAGCCAGCGGCCCGCCCGCCCCGCGCCUCGGGAGGGCUGCGGGGGAGCGGGGCCAGCGGCGGGCGGCGGCAGCCCCGGCCCCGGCGAGGGGACUAUGCGGGGCUGCCACGGCGCGCUGUGUGCGGAGCCCGGCGAGCGGCCGAACGCCGCGGCGCUGCCCGGCCGCCCCUCCGCGGCGAGGACCGGGGGAGACUAGAGGCGACUCUGCGAGGAGCCCGGUGGCUUCGGCAGCCCCUGAGACCCAACUCCGUCGCGGGCUCUUGAGGAGGAAUUGACAACAUGGCUUCCCCACCGCACCAGCAGCUGCUGCAUCACCACAGCACCGAGGUGAGCUGCGACUCCAGCGGGGACAGCAACAGCGUGACGGUGAAAAUCAACCCCAAGCAGCACCAGGGCUGCUCCUCUUCCAAGCACUGCAAGUACAGCAUCUCCUCCAGCUGCAGCUCGGGGGAGUCGGGGGGCACCCGCCGAGCCGGCGGAGCCGGCGGCGGUGGCUCCGGCCUCCGCCGGCCGAAGAAGCUGCCGCAGCUCUUCGAGAGGGCCUCUUCCAAGUGGUGGAACCCCAAGUUCGACUCCAACAACCUGGAGGAGGCUUGCAUGGAGAGAUGCUUCCCGCAGACCCAGCGCAGGUUUCGCUAUGCCCUCUUCUACAUCGGCGUGGCCUGCCUGCUCUGGGGCAUCUACUUCGGCGUACACAUGAGAGAGAAACAGAUUGUUUUCAUGGUGCCGGCUCUGUGCUUCCUCCUGGUAUGUGUAGCUUUUUUUGUGUUCACUUUCACUAAGACCUACGCCCGCCAUUAUGUCUGGACUUCGCUGAUACUCACCCUCCUGGUGUUUGCUCUGACCCUCGCUCCGCAGUUCCAGGCUCUGAAGCCUGUCUCAGGAAGUGGUGACAUGUCCAAUCGGACUCCCCCGGCAGAUCCCACAGACACAUGUCUUUCCCAAGUGGGUAGUUUUUCUAUGUGUAUCGAAGUGCUCUUGUUGCUUUACACGGUGAUGCACUUACCCCUGUAUUUAAGCUUGUUUCUGGGACUGUCCUACUCGGUCCUCUUCGAGACAUUUGGUUAUCACUUCCGCGACGAGAACUGUUUCACACCUCUCGGAGCCGGCGCGGUUUACUGGGAGCUCUUGAGUAAAGCCUUCCUGCACAUCUGCAUCCAUGCCAUUGGCAUUCAUUUAUUUAUCAUGUCCGAAGUCAGAUCGAGAAGCACGUUCCUGAAAGUGGGGCAAUCCAUCAUGCAUGGAAAAGACUUGGAAGUGGAAAAAGCCCUGAAAGAGAGGAUGAUUCAUUCUGUUAUGCCAAGAAUAAUAGCCGAUGACUUAAUGAAGCAGGGCGAUGAUGAAAGUGAAAACUCCAUCAAACGUCAUUCCACCUCAAGCCCCAAAAACAGGAAGAAGAAGCCCUCCAUACAGAAAACCCCCAUAAUAUUCCGUCCUUUUAAAAUGCAGCAGAUAGAGCAAGUGAGCAUUUUGUUCGCAGAUAUCGUCGGCUUCACGAAAAUGAGCGCCAACAAAUCAGCCCACGCUCUGGUGGGACUCCUGAACGACCUCUUUGGGCGCUUCGACCGUCUGUGUGAGGACACUAAAUGUGAGAAGAUCAGCACUUUGGGGGACUGUUACUACUGCGUGGCCGGCUGCCCCGAGCCCCGGCCGGAUCACGCGUACUGCUGCAUCGAGAUGGGCUUGGGCAUGAUCAGAGCCAUCGAGCAGUUCUGCCAGGAGAAGAAAGAAAUGGUGAACAUGAGAGUCGGUGUUCACACUGGGACGGUCCUGUGUGGCAUUUUGGGGAUGAGGAGGUUCAAGUUCGAUGUGUGGUCCAACGAUGUCAAUUUGGCCAAUCUGAUGGAGCAGCUCGGGGUGGCUGGGAAGGUCCAUAUUUCAGAAGCUACUGCCAAAUAUUUGGAUGAUCGUUAUGAAAUGGAGGAUGGGAAGGUGAUUGAGCGCGUUGGUCAGAGCGUGGUAGCUGACCAGUUGAAAGGUUUGAAGACCUAUCUGAUCUCAGGUCAGAAGGUAAGGGAGCCCCACUGCAGCUGCUCACAGGCAUUGCUUCCUGGCUUGGAGUCCACAGAGGGAGCCAGGACACAGGGAGCAUCCUCAGCUGAGAACUCCAGAGACUCCACCGAGCCUCUCAAACAGGUGGAGAAACCAAAGCCUUGCCCUUCAUGUAGUACUACCCUUGCUCCCCACUGCGAUGUCAGCGUAGAGGAAGGAGCUAUCCAAAAUGGUUGUCAGGAUGAGCAUAAAAACAGUACAAAGGCCUCGGGAGGACACAGUCCCAAGACUCAGAAUGGACUUUUGAGUCCUCCACAGGAGGAAAAGCUCAGCAACAGUCAAACCUCUCUGUAUGAAAUGCUGCAAGAGAAAGGCCGCUGGGGCGGGGUGAGCCUGGAUCAGUCAGCUCUCCUCCCUCUGAGGUUCAAAAAUAUCCGAGAAAAGACAGAUGCUCACUUUGUGGAUGUGAUUAAAGAGGACAGCCUCAUGAAAGAUUAUUUCUUUAAACCACCUAUUAACAAGCUGAGCCUGAACUUCCUGGAUCAGGAUUUGGAGAUGACCUACAGGACAAGCUACCAGGAAGAGGUCAUGAAGAAUGCUCCAGUGAAGACGUUUGCCAGCGCUACCUUCAGCUCUCUCCUGGACGUGUUCCUGUCCACCACAGUCUUCCUCAUCCUCUCCAUCACCUGUUUCCUGAAGCACGGCAUGGUGGCGUCCCCUCCGCCCCCCGCCGCCGUCGCCGUGUUCGUCGUCGCCAUCCUGCUGGAAGUGCUGUCCCUCGUCGUCUCCAUUAGGAUGGCGUUCUUUCUGGAGGAGGUGAUGACUUGCACCAAGCGUCUCCUGGAGGUGAUAUCUGGCUGGCUGCCUCGACAUUUUUUCGGCGCAAUCCUGGUUUCUCUCCCGGCUCUUGCAGUUUUUUCACACUUCACCUCUGAUUUUGAAACAAAUAUACAUUACACCAUGUUCAUGUGUUGUGCCAUUCUCAUCACCAUUGUGCAGUACUGUAACUUCUGCCAGCUCAGCUCCUGGAUGAGAUCCCUGCUGGCAACUGUGGUGGGAGCAGUGCUGCUCAUCCUGCUCUACGUCUCCCUGUGCCCGGACAGCUCCAUGGAAACUCCUCAUCUAGAUUUGGCACAGAACUUUAGCUCCAGGAAGAGCCCAUGCAACAGCUCGGUGCCAGAUGACACCAAGAGGCCGGCAGACCUGAUUGGUCAGGAGGUGGUUCUGGUUUCCUUCCUCCUGCUGCUCCUGGUCUGGUUUCUGAACCGAGAGUUUGAGGUCAGCUACCGCCUCCACUACCACGGGGACGUGGAGGCCGAUCUCCAUCGCACCAAAAUCCAGAGCAUGAGGGAUCAAGCUGACUGGUUGCUGAGGAAUAUUAUCCCAUACCACGUGGCUGAGCAGUUGAAGGUGUCCCAGAGCUAUUCCAAAAACCACGACAGCGGCGGGGUGAUCUUUGCCAGCAUAGUGAACUUCAGCGAGUUCUACGAGGAGAACUACCAGGGGGGCAAGGAGUGCUACCGAGUCCUGAACGAGCUCAUCGGGGAUUUCGACGAGCUGCUGAGCAAAGCCCACUACAGCAGCAUCGAGAAAAUCAAAACCAUCGGGGCCACCUACAUGGCGGCGUCGGGGCUGAACACCUCGCAGUGCCAGGACAGCAGCCACCCCCACGGGCACCUGCAGACCCUGUUCGAAUUUGCCAAAGAAAUGAUGCGGGUGGUGGACGACUUCAACAACAACAUGCUGUGGUUCAAUUUUAAGCUCCGAAUCGGCUUCAACCACGGCCCCCUCACGGCCGGGGUCAUCGGCACCACCAAGCUGCUGUACGACAUCUGGGGGGACACGGUGAACAUCGCCAGCAGGAUGGACACCACCGGCGUCGAGUGCCGCAUCCAGGUGAGUGAGGAGAGCUACCGCAUCCUCAGCAAGAUGGGGUAUGACUUUGACUACAGGGGGACGGUCAACGUGAAGGGCAAGGGUCAGAUGAAGACCUACCUUUACCCCAAAUGCAUGGACAACGGGAUCGUGCCGCAUCACCAGUUGUCCAUAUCUCCAGACAUUCGGGUGCAAGUGGAUGGCAGCAUUGGGCGGUCUCCCACCGACGAGAUUGCCAACCUGGUGCCUUCUGUACAGAAUUCUGAUAACAUAGCCCAUGGCACAGAUAACUCAGAAAACAAGGACAUCCCUCCUUCUGCCAAGAAGCUCCAGAAAGACACGGUGAAGGCAGAGGAGAAGUGCAGGUUCGGCAAAGCCGCGGAGAAGUCUGACUGUGAGGAAGCGGGGACUGAGGAGGUCAAUGAACUGACAAAGCUAAAUAUCUCUAAGAGUGUAUGAUGCACUGUCAGAGUUGCAUGAAGUGCUCUGUCCAUAGAAACACACUGACUUUUGCAAUUGGCAGUUUUCUUUUUCAAGAGAGACCUUCUCCACACCUGGGUUGUACGUUUGUGUUCAUUUCGGCACCUGGGGCUGUGUGGAUCACAGCUCCUCAGGGCUUCUUUCCAUCCAUCUCUCUCCUUCAUGCCCCAAAUCACAUCUCAAGCUCCCCAGCUCCCUGUGCAACCAUCUUACAGCUGAGUAGAGGAUAUUAAGUGCCUUCAGAUAUACUCCAUUGGACUCCCUGUCAAGGUACAGAGGCCCCAAGUGAAAUCAUAGCUUUGGGUAUUUAUCUAAUUUUAAAGAAAAGAAAAGCUGUGGUUAUAUCAUUUUUAUUGUUGUUUCUCACAAAACACUUUUUUUGGCUAAUGCAACUCCUUGGGUUUUUUAUAUCUCUCGGAACAAUGUUUUACUGUUAUCAGACCUUUUGUAUGUAACACACAGACAUGUGCAUGUAUCUACCAUAUGAGACUGCUAUAAAGUGCCAGUAAUGCACCACAAGAAUGUCUGGGCGAGGGGUGACACACUUUGGGUCGGGCUGGAGGAGGAGUCGUGCCGUGGCUCAGCCUUUAGUUAGGGCAGGAGGAACAGCUGCUGCAGUUCUGUUCUCCUUUACCGAUGCUUUCUUCAGCCUCCACGUGCCAUCGUGUGCUUUGGAUACACUUCUUUUCCAUAUAGCCAAUGAGUUACUGAUGUGUGGGAGUGGAAUAAGGGUUGGGACAGCACCAGCUCUCGGGACAGGUUUCCAGAAGCAGACAAGAGACCGUGGGAGUGUUGCAGUUCAGGGCUCACGACUCCAACGCCGUUCGGGGUUGCUCCGUGCGUGGCUGAGGUGGCCAAGCCCCACUUCAGCUGCAGCCCUUUGCGCAUGGUCUGGAAGAGGAACAGUUUGGAACAGAAGGUUUUUCAGCCCUUUGGUUUGGAUCUGGCUUUUGACAAUGUUUCUUUGGUAAUCAUGAAGCCACCGAGUUAAUUUUUUAUUAGGGACAUACCUAGGACGUGAAAGGAAUUUGUCACAUGAAGUUGGUGAUAAAUGACCUUCUUGUUCCCAGUACUGGGUGAGAAAACAACUCCUUCCUGAUUUUUCCUCAUUUUAGUGCAGCUCUGAAGUGUCGAGAAGGGGCUGUGCAGCCACCGGAGGCCAUUGCCAGCUGUGGCAGGAGGUGUCAGCAGAGCUUUUCCCCCCAGGGAGCUUGUGUUGGCCAGAACAGGGGAUGAAUUUGAAGUAGUUAUUUUUCUCUUUAGCAGAGAGCAUCGAUGGUUUGCUCUGGAAUAGCAAUGUCUCACUCUGAUCCGCUCGAUCCGCUUGGAAAGGGGAGUGAGGCACUUAUUCUAGAGUGAGUGUCCACAGAGCAAGGACUGACUGAGGGGGGGUGGUUGGUUGAGAAGAGGAGCCUUGGUGCUUCCAAAAUCGGAAUCUGACCCAAAGAGCAAAUCCUGUCUGUCUGUCCUGCCAACCACCCCCUGCCUCCCUUGGGGUCUCUCCUAAGCCUCCCACCGUGUGUUCAUGGGGUUUCACUGGGGAAUGAAGCCCCUAAUGAAGCCCUGAGCCCUUGCCCAGCCAGGGUUUGAGCUGGAAGAUGUGAAGGUUUCCUUUGGAUCCUGCUCCUUGUUGAUGACCAGCGACCCACUGCCAUCGUGUCCUGCGGCACCGGACCCUUCUCACGGGGCAGCCACAGCAUCGGGAUGGGUCCAGCCAGACCUCCCACCUCCCAUUUUGAUGCUCUCCCUCGGCUGCAGCAAGACCAAGAGCUUUGUCCCCCUGGAAGCAUGGAGAGGUGGAAUCUGGGUUCUGAUUAAUUCUUUUCCCCAUAUUUUAAACAGUUGGGUUUUCCCACAGCCCAGGUAAGUAUCAGAGCACACAGUAAUGCCUGUGGUGUGAUUGGUGCCACAGCCAGGCAUUGCCCUGUGCUCCUCAGUUCCAGCCCAGGUGUUUGAUGCCAGUAGGGAUGUGUAGGCCUUGCUGUGGUGUUCCUGGGUGUUCACCUUCUGUUAUAGGCGAAAACUGUUCCAAUGUUGUCCAGUCAGGUUCCAAUUGUGGAUCAUGGUGAUUGUCAACUGCCAAGGGAUAUUUUUAAUAAAUCUUACCGAGGUAUUCAAAUAAA